rnacentral:rRNA from 1 species
CCUACGGGUGGCAGCAGUGAGGAAUAUUGGGCAAUGGACGCAAGUCUGAACCAGCCAUGCCGCGUGCAUGAAGACGGCUCUAUGAGUUGUAAACUGCUUUUGUACGAGAGUAAAUGCCGAUACGCGUCUCUGUCUGAAAGUAUCGUACGAAUACGGAUCGGCUAACUCCGUGCCAGCAGCCGCGGUAAUACGGAGGAUUCAAGCGUUAUCCGGAUUUAUUGGGGUGAAAGGGUGCGUAGGCGGUAGGGUAAGUUUGAGGUGAAAUCCCGAGGCUCAACUUUGGAAUUGCCUCUGAUACUGUUCGGCUAGAGAGUAGUUGAGGUAGGCGGAAUGUAUGGUGUAGCGGUGAAAUGCUUAGAGAUCA